GUCAUGGCCGAACCGGCCUCUGUCCAGGAAAGCCGCGCCUCCCUUCCCGAUUUCCCCGGGAUUUGCCGUAGAAAAUCAUCGUGGCACCUAUAAAUCUCCGGGAUCACGCUCACGCUUCGUUUCCCCCCUCCUCAACUUGUUUGAGCCCAAGCCCCCGUGGCCGCCGCGUCCUGGAUCUCGCCGAACGAGUUCAUCUCGAUCGCUGUCAUGGAAAUCGUAACUCGCAGCCGUUCUGGCAAAAUCGAGGCCUUGCCGAGCUUCGUGUUUGAGAGCUCGUCAUCCGCCGCUCCGCGUGGUCGGCCAUUCCCAAGCCCUUCUCGCCUGCGAUUCUACCCAAGACGGUGAGCAACUCGUGGUGGUCAAGAGUGCUUUAGUGAUCAAGAUCAGAUACUUGGCAACAAGUAAGACCAGCAGAACCAAAAGGAUAAGCAAGAGCAAUUGGAUUAAGG